GCAUAUCAAUAAGCGGAGGAAAAAGAAACUAACAAGGAUUCCCCUUAGUAACUGCGAAGUGAAGCGGGGAAAAGCUCAAAUUUAAAAUCUGGUGGUCUUUGGCCAUCCGAGUUGUAAUCUAGAGAAGUGUUAUCCGCGCUGGACCGUGUACAAGUCUCCUGGAAUGGAGCGUCAUAGAGGGUGAGAAUCCCGUCUUUGACACGGACUACCAGGGCUUUGUGAUGCGCUCUCAAAGAGUCGAGUUGUUUGGGAAUGCAGCUCAAAAUGGGUGGUAAAUUCCAUCUAAAGCUAAAUAUUGGCGAGAGACCGAUAGCGAACAAGUACCGUGAGGGAAAGAUGAAAAGAACUUUGGAAAGAGAGUUAAACAGUACGUGAAAUUGCUGAAAGGGAAACGCUUGAAGUCAGUCGCGUUGUCUGGGGAUCAACCUUGCUUUUGCUGGGCGUACUUUCCAGAUGACGGGUCAGCAUCAAUUUUGACCGUUGGAUAAAGGUUAGGGAAAUGUGGCAUCUUCGGAUGUGUUAUAGUCUCUAGUUGCAUACAACGGUUGGGAUUGAGGAACUCAGCACGCCGCAAGGCCGGGUACUUGUACCACGUUCGUGCUUAGGAUGCUGGCAUAAUGGCUUUAAUCGACCCGUCUUGAAACACGGACCAAGGAGUCUAACAUGCCUGCGAGUAUUUGGGUGGUAAACCCGAGUGCGUAAUGAAAGUGAAAGUUGAGAUCCCUGUCAUGGGGAGCAUCGACGCCCGGACCAGACCUUUUGUGACGGAUCUGCGGUAGAGCAUGUAUGUUGGGACCCGAAAGAUGGUGAACUAUGCCUGAAUAGGGUGAAGCCAGAGGAAAACUCUGGUGGAGGCUCGUAGCGAUUCUGACGUGCAAAUCGAUCGUCAAAUUUGGGUAUAGGGGGCGAAAGACUAAUCGAACCAUCUAGUAGCUGGUUCCUGCCGAA
rnacentral:rRNA from 1 species